UAUGGAGGGUGCAAGCGUUAAUCGGAAUUACUGGGCGUAAAGCGUGCGUAGGCGGUUCGUUUAAGUCUGUUGUGAAAGCCCCGGGCUCAACCUGGGAAUGGCAAUGGAUACUGGCGAGCUAGAGUGUGUCAGAGGAUGGUGGAAUUCCCCGGUGUAGCGGUGAAAUGCGUAGAGAUCGGGGAGGAAACAUCAGUGGCGAAGGCGGCCAUCUGGGACAACACUGACGCUGAGGCACGAAAGCGUGGGGAGCAAACAGGG
rnacentral:rRNA from 1 species